rnacentral:rRNA from 1 species
GGGUGCAAGCGUUAAUCGGAAUUACUGGGCGUAAAGCGCGCGUAGGCGGUUUGGUAAGUCAGAUGUGAAAGCCCUGGGCUCAACCUGGGAACUGCAUUUGAUACUGCCUGACUAGAGUGUGGUAGAGGGAAGUGGAAUUCCGGGUGUAGCGGUGAAAUGCGUAGAUAUCCGGAGGAACAUCAGUGGCGAAGGCGACUUCCUGGACCAACACGGACGCUGAGGUGCGAAAGCGUGGGUAGCAAACAGGAUUAGAUACCCUGGAAGUCCACGCCGUAAACGAUGUCAACUA